rnacentral:rRNA from 1 species
GCGGACGGCUGAGUAACGCGUGGGAACGUACCCCAAAGUGAGGAAUAACCGCUCGAAAGGGUGGCUAAUGCCGCAUAUGGUCUUCGGAUUAAAGGAUUUAUCCGCUUUGGGAACGGCCUGCGUACGAUUAGAUAGUUGGUGAGGUAAAGGCUCACCAAGUCUACGAUCGUUAACUGGUCUGAGAGGAUGAUCAGUCAGACUGGAACUGAGACACGGUCCAGACUCCUACGGGAGGCAGCAGUGAGGAAUCUUCCACAAUGGGCGAAAGCCUGAUGGAGCAACGCCGCGUGCAGGAUGAAGGCCUUCGGGUCGUAAACUGCUUUUAUAAGUGAAGAAUAUGACGGUAACUUAUGAAUAAGCACCGGCUAACUACGUGCCAGCAGCCGCGGUCAUACGUAGGGUGCAAGCAUUAUCCGGAGUGACUGGGCGUAAAGAGUUGCGUAGGUGGUUUGUUAAGUGAAUAGUGAAAUCUGGUGGCUCAACCAUACAGACUAUUAUUCAAACUGGCAAACUCGAGAAUAGCAGAGGUAACUGGAAUUUCUAGUGUAGGAGUGAAAUCCGUAGAUAUUAGAAGGAACACCAAUGGCGUAGGCAGGUUACUGGGCUAUUUCUGACACUGAGGCACGAAAGCGUGGGGAGCGAACCGGAUUAGAUACCCGGGUAGUCCACGCCGUAAACGAUGGAUACUAGCUGUUGGAGGUAUCGACCCCUUCAGUAGCGAAGCUAACGCGUUAAGUAUCCCGCCUGUGGAGUACGGUCGCAAGACUAAAACAUAAAGGAAUUGACGGGGACCCGCACAAGCGGUGGAGCGUGUUCUUUAAUUCGACGAUAAACGA